CUGUUACGAAAAAAAAAAAGGACUAAUAGUAUAGAAAUACAUCACCGGGUGGUAGAAACAAUAAAAACAAUGUUGUUGCACAUUUUGUGCGUGAAUUAUAUAUAAUAAUAUGUGUGUGUGUAUAUAUAUAUAUAUAUAUAUAUAUAUAUAUAUAUAUAUGCCGUCCACCAACCAACACCAUUUCAUUUUAAAAUAAUUAAAGGAAGCACUCUGCCUCGAGUCAAAAGUUUGAAAAGUUUAAACAAAUUGUUAAAAAAAAAGUUUUUUAGACAUGAAAGUCUACUUUCUUCUUCUUCUGUCUUGUAAAUCUUUAUUAGCUGAUGAUGUUACAACUCAUUCAAUUUUAACACUCCCUGUUCCCCAUUACACGGUGAAAAAAACUAUCUUCAUUCUUUUAUAAUUACGGUAAUGAUUACAGUAAUUAUAAAAGAAUGAAGAACAUUUUUUCAAAUAGUUUUAUUCAGCUGGCGCAGGUAAACUUUCAACUAUGACGUUAUUUGGCAGUGCAUCAUUUAGCGUCAUUUAAAAGAAAAGAAUUCAGAGAGAGAUCAGAUAACUAACAGGAGAGGAAUGACGCCUCCAGCUCUUUAUUAGGUUACUGUUCGACGCAUCGCGCAUGCGCAGAGCAAGCAGACGCGAGCGACCUCGAAGACGCUGCACAUCUUUCUAUGUGCGACGGCACCAAAUGAUGUGAGUUUCGCCGCUACCUUCUCUCACAUCUUGUGUUCCUGGACCUUGAAUGGCGCUGGUCACCGUACAGCGGUCGCCAACCCCGAGUACAACCUCUAGUUCAUGUGUGUCGGAGGCAGGCAGUGCUGAAGAUGACCAGCGCUCUCAGCCCAGGAGCUUUUUCUUACUUGGGAGAGUAUGAUGGCUAUAGAGGGGUCUGUCUGAGGGUAUCCGGCUCUCUGGUCCUCCGUCAUGACUCUGGAGAGUGUGGCGAUCACGGAGAGCUCCCAGGGGUACGGCUCAGGAUUAGAGCUGUGCGAGCUUCGGAUAGAGCAUCCUCUCACACAUAGACAAUAUGAGAUCACCACAGUCCAAUAUCAAUGGGACGACCUGCCUUUAAGGUAGGUGCGACUCUCACUGUGAGACUUGAUAUAGACAUGUCAAUUCUUCUGAAAUAGCCAAUAUAAUCCCUGAUAAUAAAGCUCAUCAUUCUGACUUAUUAGUAUCCUCUUGUAUCAUUCAUCGGACAUGCUAUUUCAUGUCUUUAUUGUUUGCAUAUAGAGUGAAAACAGUACUUUUAUACCUCUUUUGACAAAUGUCAUCACAUGUAGUGGUUUUAUAUGUGUUAAAAAUUUUAAUCACAAACAAAUGAAAAAGUCCUUUUUUUAUAGUGAAAAUAUUUUUGGCAUGGAAUUUAAGUGCAGAUUGUGAAUGCAAUAAUUAU
rnacentral:lncRNA from 1 species